AAACCAUGCAUUGGGCAUUUUCACAACAAAUCAUUGAAAUGCUCCAAAGCUUCAUAUACGUUCUCAUCCUCCAUUUUCUUGAAUGAUGUGAGAUCAUUCCUUAGCUU